rnacentral:rRNA from 1 species
GAUGAACGCUGGCGGCGUGCCUAAUACAUGCAAGUCGAGCGAACAGAUGAGGAGCUUGCUCCUCUGACGUUAGCGGCGGACGGGUGAGUAACACGUGGAUAACCUACCUAUAAGACUGGGAUAACUUCGGGAAACCGGAGCUAAUACCGGAUAAUAUAUUGAACCGCAUGGUUCAAUAGUGAAAGACGGUUUUGCUGUCACUUAUAGAUGGAUCCGCGCCGCAUUAGCUAGUUGGUAAGGUAACGGCUUACCAAGGCAACGAUGCGUAGCCGACCUGAGAGGGUGAUCGGCCACACUGGAACUGAGACACGGUCCAGACUACUACGGGAGGCAGCAGUAGGGAAUCUUCCGCAAUGGGCGAAAGCUUGACGGAGCAACGCCGCGUGAGUGAUGAAGGUCUUCGGAUCGUAAAACUCUGUUAUUAGGGAAGAACAAAUGUGUAAGUAACUAUGCACGUCUUGACGGUACCUAAUCAGAAAGCCACGGCUAACUACGUG